rnacentral:rRNA from 1 species
GACAGAGGGUGCAAACGUUGCUCGGAAUUACUGGGCGUAAAGCGCGUGUAGGUGGAUUGGUGUGUCAGAUGUGAAAUCCCUGGGCUCAACCCAGGAACUGCGUCCGAUACUGGAAGGCUUGAAUCCGGGAGAGGGAUGCGGAAUUCCAGGUGUAGCGGUGAAAUGCGUAGAUAUCGGGAAGAACAUCAGUGGCGAAGGCGGUCUGCUGGGCCGUUGCUGACGCUGAGGCGCGACAGCGUGGGGAGCGAACAGG